rnacentral:ncRNA from 1 species
CACCAGGUCCAGACACAAUAAGGAUUGACAGAUUGAGAGCUCUUKCUUGAUUGUGUGGGUGGUGGUGCAUGGCCGUUCUUAGUUGGUGGAGUGAUUUGUCKGCUUAAUUGCGAUAACGAACGAGACCUUAACCUUUAAAUAGUUCUACGCGGCUUUUUGCUCGUUUGAACUUCUUAGAGGGACUAUCGAUUUCAAGUCGAUGGAAGUUUGAGGCAAUAACAGGUCUGUGAUGCCCUUAGACGUUCUGG